rnacentral:lncRNA from 1 species
AUGAAUGAAGAUAAACAAAUCUUAAUUAAUGUACCAAUAAUAACUAAAGGUAAUGAAAAAAAUGAAACAAAACAAUCUGAACAGGGGAAUGGAACUAUGAGUAAUACCUCAACAACAGCAAAUGAUAAUAAAGUAAUUACACAUGUAGGGACAAGUAAUGUUAGAACUGCAAAUGUCAACACAACACUUGUGAAUGAUAGUACAAAUAAUGAAGAAAUAAAAAAUACAAAAAAAUGUCUUUUAUAUAAUAAUUAUUCUACUUAUUUAUUUUCUCAUAUGAGUUAUGAAAUAGUAAAAUAUAAAUUAAGAAAAAUAAUAAAAAGAAUAACAGCAGAUAUUUUAAAAAAUAAAUAUAACCACAAAAUACAACAUAUGUUAACACAAUUUAUUAAAUUAAUUAAUAGAAAUCCAUUUAUUGCAUCUGAUGUAAUUUUACAACAAUGCGAACUUUUUGAUAGUAAUAUGAUUAUAACCUUAUCUGAAUCUAUUAAAAAUAUAAAUAUGUUUUCAAGUGAUUUAUUUUUAUAUAAAAUGGUAGAACGACAACAAUUAUUAGAUGUACGUACAUAUCCAUGUAAUAAACAAAAUAUUACUGGUACAGAUAUGUAUGGGAAUGAUGAUACUGUGUUCAAACCAAAAAAAUUAACCAACCUAUCUUUAGUAAGUGCAAAAUUUUUAGCAAAACAUCCAUCUGUUGAUUUUUAUCCUCUUAUCAUUUCAAUUAUUAAAAGAUUAUUUUCAGAAUUCCACAUAUCGGAUGAAUUGUUUAUUAUGGAUACUCCAACAUUAGAUACUGUCAUAAAUAGCGACCAUGGUAGUGGUAGAGACGAUGGUUGUGGUAAAGACGAUGGUAGUGGUAAAGAAGAUGGUAGUAGUAAGGACGAUGGUAGUGGUAAAGAAGAUGGUAGUGGUAAAGACGAUGGUUGUGGUAAAGACGAUGGUUGUGGUAACGAAUAUAAAAACAAUUCGAACAACUACCCAUCUGACAACUACACAUCGGACAACAAUUACAAUUCCAGCCAAAGUAUAAAAAAAAGAAUUUGCGAGAAUAAUAAUGUGAUAAAUAUAUACAGUACAAAUAAUAGAUCCUUCAAUGAUGGUGAUACAUAUCGUGCCAAAAACAAAUCAAACCUUGUUACUAAAAUAUAUGAGAAUAGUAAUAAUUACACACAAGAUAGUAACAAUAAAAUAACUAUUUUAAAAGCAUUAAACAAAAAAUAUCCUGAUUUUAUUAGUGGUUAUGUAUUAGAUAUUGAUUAUGUUAAAAAAAUAAUCGAAAUAUAUGGAGGAACUAAAGCAUCUGUUGAUGUACAAGAGCUAAAUGACGAUCAACUAAAAGCACAAUGCGGUUUUAAAUUAUUAAAAAAAGAAAUAAUGUUAUUAGAAAAUGAUUUCGAUACAUAUAUAAGCAAAUCACAAUAUGAACAUUCAGAAAUAAUGGAAAUAGAACAAGAGAAAUUAAAAAAUGAAUGUAAAGAUAAUGCAUCCAAAACAUUACUAAACCCAAAUAUUAUUUAUCUUAUUUUUUUUAUUUUAUCUAAAUUAAAAUAUGAAUAUUUAUAUGAUAGUAAUACAAACAAUUUAAAAAACUUAUCUUAUUUGAUAGAUAAUAUUCAUGGUGUUAUAUUACAAUUUAUCGAAUUUAUACAAACAAAUACAGACCCAUUUAUUUAUUUUGCAAUUAUACCAACAGUUGAACAUAUUUUUGAGUUUUUUGAAAUAGCUCAAGCAUUUCAUAUUAUUAGAUAUGCAUUUCCAUUUGGGAUAGAAAAAGAAAUUCUAUCUGAGUCGAUUAUAACAGCAGGAUCUUCAGUAGAGUCUGAAAUAAUUGCGGAACAAAAAAAAAAAAAAUUACAAAAUAAAAAAAAAAUAAUAUUUCUUCUGAACAAACAUUACUAUCGUCAAAUUGUGUUUUGUCAAAUUGUGUUUUGUCAAAUUGUGUUUCGUCAAAUUAUGCUUCGUCAAAUUCUGAUUCGUCGCAUCAUGACGGUGUACAAAAUAAUAACAGUGACAUAA